UACGGAGGGUGCAAGCGUUAUCCGGAAUCAUUGGGUUUAAAGGGUCCGCAGGCGGACUUAUAAGUCAGUGGUGAAAUCUCUCGGCUUAACCGAGAAACUGCCAUUGAUACUGUAAGUCUUGAAUUCGGUCGAAGUGGGCGGAAUAUGACAUGUAGCGGUGAAAUGCUUAGAUAUGUCAUAGAACACCGAUAGCGAAGGCAGCUCACUAGACCUGGAUUGACGCUCAGGGACGAAAGCGUGGGGAGCAAACAGG
rnacentral:rRNA from 1 species